AGAACGAACGCUGGCGGCGUGGCUAAGGCAUGCAAGUCGAACGGACCCUUUCAAGGAGUAAUCCGAGAAUUGGUUAGUGGCGAACGGGUGAGGAAUACUUGGACAACGUACCCCGAACUCAGGGAUAGCGGCGGGCUUCGGCCCUUUGCGAAAGUGCCGGUAAUACCUGAUGACCCCGCGUGAUCGCAUGAUCGUGCGGGCAAAGCUCCGACGGUUCGGGACCGGUUCAAGUCCUAUCAGCUUGUUGGUGGGGUAACGGCCUACCAAGGCAUCGACGGGUACCGGGCGUGAGAGCGUGACCCGGCACAUCGGAACUGAGACACUGUCCGGACACCUACGGGUGGCUGCAGCAACGAAUAUUCCGCAAUGGACGCAAGUCUGACGGAGCGACGCCGCGUGCAGGAAGAAGUCCCUCGGGAUGUAAACUGCUGUCAGGGGUUAGGAACACCGACCAGCCCCAAAGGAAGCACUGGCUAACUCCGUGCCAGCAGCCGCGGUAAUACGGAGAGUGCAAGCGUUGUUCGGAAUUACUGGGCUUAAAGAGCAUGUAGGCGGGAUGUCAAGUGUCGGGUGAAAACCCCAGGCUCAACCUGGGAACUGCCCGGCAAACUGGCAUUCUUGAGGUAGGUAGAGGUGACUGGAACAACUGGUGGAGCGGUGAAAUGCGUAGAUAUCAGUUGGAACGCCGGCGGCGAAAGCGAGUCACUGGACCUAUCCUGACGCUGAGAUGCGAAAGCGUGGGUAGCGAACGGGAUUAGAUACCCCGGUAGUCCACGCCGUAAACGAUGCGCACUAGGUAUGGGAGGUUUUGACGCCGACCGUGCCGAAGCAAAAGUGGUAAGUGCGCCGCCUGGGGAGUACGGCCGCAAGGCUA
rnacentral:rRNA from 1 species